rnacentral:rRNA from 1 species
UAUACCUACGGGACGCAGCAGUGAGGAAUAUUGGUCAAUGGGCGCGAGCCUGAACCAGCCAAGUCGCGUGAGGGAAGACGGUCCUAUGGAUUGUAAACCUCUUUUGUCGGGGAGCAGAGGACGCCACGCGUGGCGUUCCGAGUGUACCCGAAGAAAAAGCAUCGGCUAACUCCGUGCCAGCAGCCGCGGUAAUACGGAGGAUGCGAGCGUUAUCCGGAUUUAUUGGGAUUAAAGGGUGCGCAGGCGGAAGAUCAAGUCAGCGGUAAAAUUGAGAGGCUCAACCUCUUCGAGCCGUUGCAACUGGU